rnacentral:rRNA from 1 species
AGACAGCAGUAGCCGCGGUAACACAGAGGGUGCGAGCGUUAAUCGGAUUUACUGGGCGUAAAGCGUGCGUAGGCGGCUUCUUAAGUCGGAUGUGAAAUCCCUGAGCUUAACUUAGGAAUUGCAUUCGAUACUGGGAAGCUAGAGUAUGGGAGAGGAUGGUAGAAUUCCAGGUGUAGCGGUGAAAUGCGUAGAGAUCUGGAGGAAUACCGAUGGCGAAGGCAGCCAUCUGGCCUAAUACUGACGCUGAGGUACGAAAGCAUGGGGAGCAAACAGGAUUAGAUACCCCCGUAGUCCCUGUCUCUUAUAC